AUAUGCCUGGCUCCCUGUAUGCCACUCGCACGGCUACCACCCCAAGAUCAUCGAUCGAUCUCGGUGGCCGCUGCGGCUGGCGUGCGAGGUGCCAAGCAUGG
rfam:Sorghum bicolor cultivar BTx623 chromosome 2, whole genome shotgun sequence.